rnacentral:rRNA from 1 species
UACGAAGGGGGCUAGCGUUGUUCGGAUUUACUGGGCGUAAAGCGCACGUAGGCGGAUCGUUAAGUCGGGGGUGAAAUCCUGGAGCUCAACUCCAGGACUGCCUUCGAUACUGGCGAUCUUGAGUCCGGAAGAGGUGAGUAGAACUCCUAGUGUAGAGGUGGAAUUCGUAGAUAUUAGGAAGAACACCAGUGGCGAAGGCGGCUCACUGGUCCGGUACUGACGCUGAGGUGCGAAAGCGUGGGGAGCAAACAGG